UAUCGAGAUAUGCAUUUUUCGAGAAUUUCAUUAAAACAAAAGCGGGCAACGGCGAGUUGCGGACGGUGGAGACAAAAGAAUUAUAAAUAAAUUGUUAAGCGUUAACGCAAACGUUACGUUAACGUGGUCGAGAGCAGUCUAGACCAAAUAAAUCAAGAUGCAGAUGGGUUCAUUAAACGUUCAGCACAAAGCACAACUCAAUUCGAACACACAACUCAAGCAAACUUGACCCAAACGAGAGAAGAUUGACUGAAGUCCAAAGUGCAAAACUGAAUCCCAAUACGCAAUGCUUAAUAUAUUUUUUUGCUAUUCAUGGUGGAUAAACGAAACGAAAGCACGCAGAAUUCACAGGAUGUGGCAGGACAUUGAAGUGGCCAUCACGAACCACAAUUACCGCACUUUAUAGCACUCAUAAUAUUACUGCUUAUCCAGGCAACUACUAUUCAAGCUUGACACACUUGAGUGUGUCAAGUUUCAGCGACUCUUUGCUUAAUUGUGCCAAAAGAUUUCGGGGGUCUUAUCGACUGCGCGUCAUAAGCCUAUUUAUAAGUUGGCCUAAUCUGGCUGAGGACUCUCCUACGCUAUCCACCGACCCACCGUUGUGCACAGUUGGUCCUUUUUUAAUGGGCGUUGCGGCCAUUUUGAAUGCAGAUGCUGUAACAGAAAGUGUAGUUGUAGUUGUGGCCGUAACUGACCGCUGGCAGUGUCGCUCAGCGGGGCGACAACGUCGGAAGCAUUGUGACUUGUCUCCGGACUCCGGCCUGGACUUGUGCGUAACCUUUGAACCAUUAAGAUAAGCGCCACCAGCAAAAAAAAAAGCCCAGAGAAAUCUCCCAAAGUGAGCGCAAGAGAGCAAAAGAAAGAGACGAAAAGAGAGCGGAGCGACAUAGAGAAAAAGCAAAAAUCGUUGGACGCAAAACGUGGCUGACAAACAAAAGCGCAGAAAUGAAUUAUUUCACUCGCCAGGGUUUUAUAUACUCAGCAAAUAGUCUGGCAGAUGGGCAUGACCGA